rnacentral:rRNA from 1 species
GACUACCAGGGUAUCUAAUCCUGUUCGCUCCCCACGCUUUCGUCCAUCAGCGUCAAUCCACAAGUAGUAACCUGCCUUCGCAAUUGGUAUUCCAUGUAAUAUCUAAGCAUUUCACCGCUACACUACAUAUUCUAGUUACUUCCUUGUAAUUCAAGUCUAACAGUAUCAAUGGCCGUUCCAUCGUUGAGCGAUGGGCUUUCACCACUGACUUAUUAAACCGCCUACGGACCCUUUAAACCCAAUGAUUCCGGAUAACGCUUGGAUCCUCCGUAUUACCGCGGCUGCUGGCACGGAGUUAGCCGAUCCUUAUUCUUACGGUACCGUCAAGCUCCCUCACGAGGGAGUGUUUCUUCCCGUACAAAAGCAGUUUACACACCAUAGAUGCUUCUUCCUGCACGCGGCAUGGCUGGUUCAGGCUUGCGCCCAUUGACCAAUAUUCCUCACUGCAGCCUCCCGUAGG